rnacentral:rRNA from 1 species
UACGUAGGGUGCGAGCGUUAAUCGGAAUUACUGGGCGUAAGGCGUGCGCAGGCGGUUUUGUAAGCCAGAUGUGAAAUCCCCGGGCUUAACCUGGGAAUGGCAUUUGGGACUGCAAGGCUGGAGUACGGCAGAGGAGACUGGAAUUCCUGGUGUAGCAGUGAAAUGCGUAGAGAUCAGGAGGAAUACCGAUGGCGAAGGCAGGUCUCUGGGCUGAUACUGACGCUCAUGCACGAAAGCGUGGGGAGCAAACAGG